rnacentral:rRNA from 1 species
UACGGGGGGGCAAGCGUUGUUCGGAAUUACUGGGCGUAAAGGGCUCGUAGGUGGCCAACUAAGUCAGACGUGAAAUCCCUCGGCUUAACCGGGGAACUGCGUCUGAUACUGGAUGGCUUGAGUUUGGGAGAGGGAUGCGGAAUUCCAGGUGAGCGGUGAAAUGCGCAGAUAUCAGGAGGAACACCGGUGGCGAAGGCGGUCUCUGGGCAUUACCUGACGUGGAGGAGCGAAAGCGUGGGGAGCAAACAGG